rnacentral:lncRNA from 1 species
UCGAAGUCGAGGAUGAAGUUCGGCUUCCGUAGGAGUCCGGGCAAAGUCUACCUGCAAUUGAAGUCGGGGGCGAAGUCCGGCUCCCGUAGGAGUUCAGACGAAGUCCACCUGCAAUUGAAGUUGGGGGCGAAGUCCGGCUCCCGUAGGAGUCCGGACGAAGUCUUCCUGCAGUCGGAGUCGGGGAUGAGGUCCGACUCCCGUAGGAGUCCGGAUGAAGUCUACCUGCAAUUGAAGUCGGGGGUGAAGUCCGGCUCCCAUAGGAGUCCGG